rnacentral:rRNA from 1 species
GUGGGGAAUAUUGCGCAAUGGGGGGAACCCUGACGCAGCAACGCCGCGUGAAGGAUGAAGGUUUUCGGAUCGUAAACUUCUUUGAUGAGGGACGAAGAAUGACGGUACCUCAAAAACAAGCCACGGCUAACUACGUGCCAGCAGCCGCGGUAAUACGUAGGUGGCGAGCGUUGUCCGGAAUUACUGGGUGUAAAGGGCGUGUAGGCGGGGAUACAAGUCAGAUGUGAAAUACCGUGGCUUAACCACGGGGCUGCAUCUGAAACUGUAUUUCUUGAGUGUCGGAGAGGAAAGUGGAAUUCCCAGUGUAGCGGUGAAAUGCGUAGAUAUUGGGAGGAACACCAGUGGCGAAGGCGACUUUCUGGACGAUAACUGACGCUGAGGCGCGAAAGCGUGGGGAGCAAACAGGAUUAGAUACCCCAGUAGUCC